rnacentral:lncRNA from 1 species
CCACGUUAUAUUUUCAUUUAUGAGAUGUUCCAUAACUAUUGUCUUAGAGGCAAGUCUUGGGUCAAGGACUUUCAAACUACAAAUUAUGCCCCACGAGCAAGAGUUGACUCUACCACGUUAUGUUUUCAUUUAUGAGACGUUCUACAACUAUUGCCUUAGAGGCAAGACUUAGCUCAAGGACUUUCAAACUACAAAUUAUGCCCCACGAGCAAGAGUUGACUCUACCACGUUAUAUUUUCAUUUAUGAGAUGUUCUACAACUAUUGCCUUAGAGGCAAGCUUAGCUCAAGGACUUUCAAACAACAAGUUAUGUUUCAUGGGCA